rnacentral:rRNA from 1 species
UGGGGAAUAUUGCACAAUGGGCGAAAGCCUGAUGCAGCAACGCCGCGUGAGUGAUGAAGGCCUUCGGGUUGUAAAGCUCUGUCUUUUGGGACGAUAAUGACGGUACCAAAGGAGGAAGCCACGGCUAACUACGUGCCAGCAGCCGCGGUAAUACGUAGGUGGCAAGCGUUGUCCGGAUUUACUGGGCGUAAAGGAUGCGUAGGCGGAUUUUUAAGUGAGAUGUGAAAUACCCGGGCUUAACUUGGGUGCUGCAUUUCAAACUGGGAAUCUAGAGUGCGGGAGAGGAGAAUGGAAUUCCUAGUGUAGCGGUGAAAUGCGUAGAGAUUAGGAAGAACACCAGUGGCGAAGGCGAUUCUCUGGACCGUAACUGACGCUGAGGCAUGAAAGCGUGGGUAGCAAACAGGAUUAGAUACCCUGGUAGUCCACGCCGUAAACGAUGAGUACUAGGUGUAGGAGGUAUCGACCCCUUCUGUGCCGCAGUUAACACAAUCAAGUACUCCGCCUGGGAAGUACGAUCGCAAGAUUAAAACUCAAAUG